GUGUCAGCGUGGGUUUCCUCCAGGUGCUCCGACAUGUUCUCCCCGUGUCAGCGUGGGUUUCCUCCAGGUGCUCUGACAUGUUCUCCCUGUGUCAGCGUGGGUUUCCUCCAGGUGCUCUGACAUGUUCUCCCUGUGUCAGCGUGGGUUUCCUCCAGGUGCUCUGACAUGUUCUCCCUGUGUCAGCGUGGUUUCCUCCAGGUGCUCUGACAUGUUCUCCCUGUGUCAGCGUGGGUUUCCUCCAGGUGCUCUGACAUGUUCUCCCUGUGUCAGCGUGGGUUUCCUCCAGGUGCUCAGACAUGUUCUCCCCGUGUCAGCGUGGGUUUCCUCCAGGUGCUCUGACAUGUUCUCCCGGUGUCAGCGUGGGUUUCCUCCAGGUGCUCUGACAUGUUCUCCCCGUGUCAGCGUGGGUUUCCUCCAGGUGCUCUGACAUGUUCUCCCUGUGUCAGCGUGGGUUUCCUCCAGGUGCUCUGACAUGUUCUCCCUGUGUCAGUGUGGGUUUCCUCCAGGUGCUCUGACAUGUUCUCCCUGUGUCAGCGUGGGUUUCCUCCAGGUGCUCCGACAUGUUCUCCCCGUGUCAGCGUGGGUUUCCUCCAGGUGCUCUGACAUGUUCUCCCCGUGUCAGCGUGGGUUUCCUCCAGGUGCUCUGACAUGUUCUCCCCGUGUCAGCGUGGGUUUCCUCCAGGUGCUCUGACAUGUUCUCCCCGUGUCAGCGUGGGUUUCCUCCAGGUGCUCUGACAUGUUCUCCCCGUGUCAGCGUGGGUUUCCUCCAGGUGCU